GACGAACGCUGGCGGCGUGCUUAACACAUGCAAGUCGAACGGAAAGGCCCUGCUUUUGUGGGGUGCUCGAGUGGCGAACGGGUGAGUAACACGUGAGUAACCUGCCCUUGACUUUGGGAUAACUUCAGGAAACUGGGGCUAAUACCGGAUAGGAGCUCCUGCUGCAUGGUGGGGGUUGGAAAGUUUCGGCGGUUGGGGAUGGACUCGCGGCUUAUCAGCUUGUUGGUGGGGUAGUGGCUUACCAAGGCUUUGACGGGUAGCCGGCCUGAGAGGGUGACCGGCGACAUUGGGACUGAGAUACGGCACAGACUCCUACGGGAGGCAGCAGUGGGGAAUAUUGCACAAUGGGCGGAAGCCUGAUGCAGCAACGCCGCGUGCGGGAUGACGGCCUUCGGGUUGUAAACCGCUUUCGCCUGUGACGAAGCGUGAGUGACGGUAAUGGGUAAAGAAGCACCGGCUAAAUACGUG
rnacentral:rRNA from 1 species